GAAUAUAGCGCUGGCGGAAUGCUUUACACAUGCCAAGUCGUGAGGGCAGCGCGGGGCAACCUGGCGGCGAGCGGCGAACGGGUGAGUAAUGAGCAUCGGAACAUGUCCAGUCGUGGGGGAUAACCUGGCGAAAGCCAGGCUAAUACCGCAUGCGCUCGAGAGAGGAAAGCGGGGGACCGUAAGGCCUCGCGCGAUUGGGUUGGCCGAUGUCCGAUUAGCUAGUUGGCGGGGUAAGAGCCCACCAAGGCGAUGAUCGGUAGCUGGUCUGAGAGGAUGAUCAGCCACACUGAGACUGAGACACGGCCAGACUCCCACGGGAGGCAGCAGUGGGGAAUUUUGGACAAUGGGGGCAACCCUGAUCCAGCCAUUCCGCGUGAGUGAAGAAGGCCUUCGGGUUGUAAAGCUCUUUUGUCCGGAGCGAAACGGUCGUGGUGAAUAUCCGCGACUACUGACGGUACCGGAAGAAUAAGCACCGGCUAACUACGUGCCAGCAGCCGCGGUAAUACGUAGGGCGCGAGCGUUAAUCGGAAUUACUGGGCGUAAAGCGUGCGCAGGCGGUUUCGUAAGCUUGAUGUGAAAUCCCCGGGCUUAACCUGGGAAUGGCAUUGAGGACUGCGAGGCUGGAGUGUGGCAGAGGAGACUGGAAUUCCUGGUGUAGCAGUGAAAUGCGUAGAUAUCAGGAGGAAUACCGAUGGCG
rnacentral:rRNA from 1 species